AUACGGAGGGUGCAAGCGUUAUUCGGAAUCACUGGGCGUAAAGGACGCGUAGGCGGGUUGGCAAGUCAGAUGUGAAAUCCUACAGCUUAACUGUAGAACUGCAUUUGAAACUGCUAACCUAGAGUAUGGGAGGGGGAGAUGGAAUUAGUGGUGUAGGGGUAAAAUCCGUAGAUAUCACUAGGAAUACCGAGAGCGAAGGCGAUUUCCUGGAACAUAACUGACGCUAAGGCGUGAAAGCGUGGGGAGCAAACAGGAUUAGAAACCCUAGUAGUCC
rnacentral:rRNA from 1 species